GAGAACGAAUCCGAGAGUGGCGCGGUUCGACCUAUAUAACUGUGCAGCAACUCGCCAACCAUUCAGUGUCGGUGAGACUGUGGAGGAGGAAGAUGUAUUACGUAUGUUUCUCGCUAGUGAUACUGAAAGUCUAGUAAAGAAAGCAUUUGUUUUUAUUUGGUUUAUCAAACGUUUCUGAAAAUUAAUUAACACAUAUUUACAUAAGAUCUCUGUGCUAUUUUUAGAAUGAAGUUUUAGCGAAUUUUCAUAAUCAAGUGUUUGUUUACGACGCCCACCUCACGUGUGUAGUGAAGUCUGGAGUAAGUUAAGUGAAUCCAAAAGAACUAGCGGCCUUCACCGCUCGUAGACUUCCGUGCCUCAACCCACACCCGCGACCUUCACACUGUUUUGACGAGGUACAAACUUCGGAUCCCAGCGUCGCCUGUUCUCGCCCGCCGACACUCCCGUCGCAACAGUGUAACUCGCAGAAAAAAAAUAAAAAGGAAAAAGGAGAAAAACAAUCUCCACACCCCAUGCGCUCGCCUGACUGCUCUGAGGCUAUUUUACGCGUUCGAAUAGGUUGCCAACAAGAGUGAGAUUGAUGCCCACCGCAGGAAGGUGAGCAGGGCGAAGGUGAAGCGAAGUAUUCCCUGGUGUCACCCGGAGCCUCGUCACCGGCCUCCGCGUUUGACGGACCAUCCAUCACUGGGCCUCCUUCGCCGGCCGCUUCCUCCGCCGCACGCUCUCCGCUGUCUCGCAAGAGCAUUUCGUUCCAGCACAAAAAGAAUUCUGCAAACUUAUGCAC